rnacentral:rRNA from 1 species
AUUGAACGCUGGCGGCAGGCCUAACACAUGCAAGUCGAACGGUAACAGGAAGCAGCUUGCUGCUUCGCUGACGAGUGGCGGACGGGUGAGUAAUGUCUGGGAAGCUGCCUGAUGAGGGGGAUAACACUGGAAACGGUAGCUAAUACCGCAUAAUGUCGCAAGACCAAAGAGGGGGACCUUCGGGCCUCUUGCCAUCGGAUGUGCCCAGAUGGGAUUAGCUUGUUGGUGGGGUAACGGCUCACCAAGGCGACGAUCCCUAGCUGGUCUGAGAGGAUGACCAGCCACACUGGAACUGAGACACGGUCCAGACUCCUACGGGAGGCAGCAGUGGGGAAUAUUGCACAAUGGGCGCAAGCCUGAUGCAGCCAUGCCGCGUGUAUGAAGAAGGCCUUCGGGUUGUAAAGUACUUUCAGCGGGGAGGAAGGGAGUAAAGUUAAUACCUUUGCUCAUUGACGUUACCCGCAGAAGAAGCACCGGCUAACUCCGUG